GACGAACGCUGGCGGCGUGCUUAACACAUGCAAGUCGAACGGAAAGGCCCUGCUUUUGUGGCGUGCUCGAGUGGCGAACGGGUGAGUAACACGUGAGUAACCUGCCCUUGACUUUGGGAUAACUUCAGGAAACUGGGGCUAAUACCGCAUAGGAGCUCCUGCUGCAUGGUGGGGGUUGGAAAGUUUCGGCGGUUGGGGCUGGACUCGCGGCUUAUCAGCUUGUUUGUGGGGUAGUGGUUUACCAAGGCUUUGACGGGUAGCCGGCCUGAGAGGGUGACCGGGCACAGUGGGACUGAGAUACGGAGCAGACGCCUACGGGAGGCAGCGGUGGGGAAUAUUGCACAAUGGGGGGAAGCCUGAUGCAGCAACGCCGCGUGCGGGAUGACGGCCUUCGGGUUGUAAACCGCUGUCGCCUGUGACGAAGCGUGAGUGACGGUAAUGGGUAAAGAAGCACCGGCUAACUACGUG
rnacentral:rRNA from 1 species